rnacentral:rRNA from 1 species
ACGGAAGGCAGCAGUGAGGAAUAUUGGUCAAUGGUCGGAAGACUGAACCAGCCAAGUAGCGUGAAGGAUGACUGCCCUAUGGGUUGUAAACCUCUUUUAUGCGGGAAUAAAAAGGAUUACGUGUAGUCUGUUGCAUGUACCGCAUGAAUAAGGAUCGGCUAAUUCCGUGCAGCAGCCGCGGUAAUACGGAAGAUCCGAGCGUUAUCCGGAUUUAUUGGGUUUAAAGGGAGCGUAGGCGGGCGUUUAAGUCAGUGGUCAAAGCGUGUGGCUCAACCAUACCACGCCAUUGAUACUGGAUGCCUUGAGUGCACAUAAGGAUGGUGGAAUUCAUGGCGUAGCGGUGAAAUGCUUAGAUAUCAUGAAGAACUCCGAUUGCGAAGGCAGCUGUCCGGGGUGUAACUGACGCUAAUGCUCGAAAGUGCGGGUAUCAAACAGGAUUAGAUACCCUGGUA